rnacentral:rRNA from 1 species
CCAAAUUAAGGUGAAACCGCGAAAGGCUCAUUAAAUCAGUUAUGGUUCCUUAGAUCGUACCACAUUUACUUGGAUAACUGUGGUAAUUCUAGAGCUAAUACAUGCCAACAGAGCUCCGACCGGAGACGGAAGGAGCGCUUUUAUUAGAUCAAAACCAAUCGGUGGCCGGAAACGGUCAUCGUCCAACUUGGUGACUCUGAAUAACUUUAUGCUGAUCGCACGGUCUCGCACCGGCGACGCAUCUUUCAAAUGUCUGCCUUAUCAACUGUCGAUGGUAGGUUCUGCGCCUACCAUGGUUGUAACGGGUAACGGGGAAUCAGGGUUCGAUUCCGGAGAGGGAGCCUGAGAAACGGCUACCACAUCCAAGGAAGGCAGCAGGCGCGCAAAUUACCCACUCCCGGCACGGGGAGGUAGUGACGAAAAAUAACGAUACGGGACUCAUCCGAGGCCCCGUAAUCGGAAUGAGUACACUUUAAAUCCUUUAACGAGGAUCAAUUGGAGGGCAAGUCUGGUGCCAGCAGCCGCGGUAAUUCCAGCUCCAAUAGCGUAUAUUAAAGUUGUUGCGGUUAAAAAGCUCGUAGUCGAAUUUGUGUCUCACGCCGCUGGUUCAUCGUUCGCGCGGUGUCAACUGGCGUGUCGUGGGACGUCCUGCCGGUGGGCUUAGCGGUCUCUCUUCUGAGAUUGCGGCCCAAUUCAAUCCUGCCACGGUGCUCUUCAUUGAGUGUCGAGGUGGGCCGGCACGUUUACUUUGAACAAAUUAGAGUGCUUAAAGCAGGCUGAAUUUUGCCUGAAUACUGUGUGCAUGGAAUAAUGGAAUAGGACCUCGGUUCUAUUUUGUUGGUUUUCGGAACUCCGAGGUAAUGAUUAAUAGGAACGGAUGGGGGCAUUCGUAUUGCGACGUUAGAGGUGAAAUUCUUGGAUCGUCGCAAGACGGACAGAAGCGAAAGCAUUUGCCAAAAACGCUUUCAUUGAUCAAGAACGAAAGUUAGAGGUUCGAAGGCGAUCAGAUACCGCCCUAGUUCUAACCAUAAACGAUGCCAGCUAGCGAUCCGACGACGUUCCUUGAAUGACUCGUCGGGCAGCUUCCGGGAAACCAAAGCUUUUGGGUUCCGGGGGAAGUAUGGUUGCAAAGCUGAAACUUAAAGGAAUUGACGGAAGGGCACCACCAGGAGUGGAGCCUGCGGCUUAAUUUGACUCAACACGGGAAACCUCACCAGGCCCGGACACCGGAAGGAUUGACAGAUUGAGAGCUCUUUCUUGAUUCGGUGGGUGGUGGUGCAUGGCCGUUCUUAGUUGGUGGAGCGAUUUGUCUGGUUAAUUCCGAUAACGAACGAGACUCUAGCCUACUAACUAGGCGUUUAGACAUUCGAAAGGCCCGCAGGCCCCGCGAGAAGGUCAGUUUCGGCUGUGCCUCUCUCGAGGUGUGUCGGCGCGGUUUUUUCUGUCUACGUAUACUAUAUUCUUCUUAGAGGGACAGGCUGCUUCUAGCAGCACGAGAUUGAGCAAUAACAGGUCUGUGAUGCCCUUAGAUGUUCUGGGCCGCACGCGCGCUACACUGAAGGAAUCAGCGUGUCCUCCCUGGCCGAGUGGCCCGGGUAACCCGCUGAACCUCCUUCGUGCUAGGGAUUGGGGCUUGCAAUUGUUCCCCAUGAACGAGGAAUUCCCAGUAAGCGCGAGUCAUAAGCUUGCGUUGAUUACGUCCCUGCCCUUUGUACACACCGCCCGUCGCUACUAC